CCCUUAGAUGUUCUGGGCCGCACGCGCGCUACACUGAUGCAUUCAACGAGUCUAAAACCUGCUCUGAUAGGGGUGGGUAAUCUUUUGAAUGUGCAUCGUGAUUGGGAUAGAUGAUUGCAAUUUUUCAUCUUCAACGAGGAAUGCCUAGUAAACGCAAGUCAUCAGCUUGCAUUGAUUACGUCCCGGCCCUUUGUACACACCGCCCGUCGCUCCUACCGAUUGAAUGAUCCGAUGAAUAUCAUGGAUUGAGGAUUAUAGCAGGUUCGCCUGUCUUGAUCUUCGAGAAGUGAAGUAAAUCUUAUCAUUUAGAGGAAGGAGAAGUCGUAACA
rnacentral:rRNA from 1 species